rnacentral:ncRNA from 12 species
CAGCUAUCAAGAGUAGGCGAGUGAUACAGCACUUUGACCCUGCACCAACCGGCAAAAUAUGGCAGCAUAUUUCGUCAUGGUGGUCCAUCUGUACAGAUAGUCG